GACGAACGCUGGCGGCGUGCUUAACACAUGCAAGUCGAGCGGUAAGGCCCUUUCGGGGGUACGACGAGCGGCGAACGGGUGAGUAACACGUGGGUGACCUGCCCUCAGCUCUGGGAUAAGCCUGGGAAACUGGGUCUAAUACUGGAUAUGACUCCACGGUGCAUGUCGUGGGGUGGAAAGCCUUGUGCGGCUGAGGAUGGGCCCGCGGCCUAUCAGCUUGUUGGNGGGGUGAUGGCCUACCAAGGCGACGACGGGUAGCCGGCCUGAGAGGGCGGGUCGGUCACACUGACACUGACAUACGGGUCAGACUCCUACGGGAGGCAGCAGUCGGGAAUUUUGGGCAAUGGGCGAAAGCCUGACCCAGCAACGCCGCGUGAAGGAUGAAAUCCCUCGGGAUGUAAACUUCGCAAAGAUUGGGAAGAAUUUAGUAGGGGUUAAUACCCCCUAUGAUGACGGUACCUUUUGUAAGCUCCGGCUAACUCCGUGCCAGCAGCCGCCG
rnacentral:rRNA from 1 species